rnacentral:rRNA from 1 species
AUAACGACUCUCGGCAACGGAUAUCUCGGCUCUCGCAUCGAUGAAGAACGUAGCGAAAUGCGAUACUUGGUGUGAAUUGCAGAAUCCCGUGAACCAUCGAGUCUUUGAACGCAAGUUGCGCCCGAAGCCUUUUGGCCGAGGGCACGUCUGCCUGGGCGUCACGC